UGGGGAAUUUUGGACAAUGGGCGAAAGCCUGAUCCAGCAAUGCCGCGUGUGUGAAGAAGGCCUUCGGGUUGUAAAGCACUUUUGUCCGGAAAGAAAUCCUUGGCUCUAAUACAGUCGGGGGAUGACGGUACCGGAAGAAUAAGCACCGGCUAACUACGUGCCAGCAGCCGCGGUAAUACGUAGGGUGCAAGCGUUAAUCGGAAUUACUGGGCGUAAAGCGUGCGCAGGCGGUUUGCUAAGACCGAUGUGAAAUCCCCGGGCUCAACCUGGGAACUGCAUUGGUGACUGGCAGGCUAGAGUAUGGCAGAGGGGGGUAGAAUUCCACGUGUAGCAGUGAAAUGCGUAGAGAUGUGGAGGAAUACCGAUGGCGAAGGCAGCCCCCUGGGCCAAUACUGACGCUCAUGCACGAAAGCGUUGGGGAGCAAACAGGAUUAGAUACCCUGGUAGUCCACGCCCUAAACGAUGUCAACUAGUUGUUGGGGAUUCAUUUCCUUAGUAACGUAGCUAACGCGUGAAGUUGACCGCCUGGGGAGUACGGUCGCAAGAUUAAAACUCAAAUGAAUUGACGGGGUCAUAGCUGUUU
rnacentral:rRNA from 1 species